rnacentral:rRNA from 1 species
UACGUAGGGAGCAAGCGUUGUCCGGAAUCAUUGGGCGUAAAGCGCGCGUAGGUGGCCACAUAAGUCCGUUGUGAAAGUCAAAGGCUACAACCUUUGAAAGCCGAUGGAUACUGUGUGGCUAGAGUACGGAAGAGGCGAGUGGAAUUCCUGGUGUAGCGGUGGAAUGCGCAGAUAUCAGGAGGAACACCAAUAGCGAAGGCAGCUCGCUGGGACGUUACUGACACUGAGGCGCGAAAGCGUGGGGAGCGAACAGG